AACGAACGCUGGCGGCAGGCUUAACACAUGCAAGUCGAACGCCCCGCAAGGGGUGUGGCGGACUGGUGGGUAACGCGUGGGAACAUACCCUUUUCUACGGAAUACCUCUGGGAAACUGGUAUUAAUACCGUAUACGCCCUACGGGGGGAAGAUUUAUCGGGGAAGGAUUGGCCCGCGUUGGAUUAGCUAGUUGGUGGGGUAAAGGCAUACCAAGGCGACGAUCCAUAGCUGGUCUGAGAGGAUGAUCAGCCAGAUUGGGGCUGAGACACGGACCAAACUCCUACGGGAGGGAGGAGUGGGGAAUAUUGGACAAGGGGCGCAAGCCUGAUCCAGCCAUGCCGGGUGAGUGAUGAAGGCCUUAGGGUUGUAAAGCUCUUUCACCGAUGAAGAUAAUGACGGUAGUCGGAGAAGAAGCCCCGGCUAACUUCGUG
rnacentral:rRNA from 1 species